rnacentral:rRNA from 1 species
ACGAACGCUGGCGGCAUGCCUAACACAUGCAAGUCGUACGAAGGCUUCGGCCUUAGUGGCGCACGGGUGAGUAACACGUGGGAACCUGCCUUUCGGUUCGGGAUAACGUCUGGAAACGGACGCUAACACCGGAUACGCCCUUCGGGGGAAAGUUUACGCCGAGAGAGGGGCCCGCGUCCGAUUAGGUAGUUGGUGGGGUAACGGCCUACCAAGCCGACGAUCGGUAGCUGGUCUGAGAGGAUGAUCAGCCACACUGGGACUGAGACACGGCCCAGACUCCUACGGGAGGCAGCAGUGGGGAAUAUUGGACAAUGGGGGCAACCCUGAUCCAGCAAUGCCGCGUGAGUGAUGAAGGCCUUCGGGUUGUAAAGCUCUUUCGCACGCGACGAUGAUGACGGUAGCGUGAGAAGAAGCCCCGGCUAACUUCGU